rnacentral:rRNA from 1 species
CCUCAUGUGGUCGCAAGACUAAAGGCGGGGCAACCUGUCGCUUUCUGAUUGGUCCGCGGCCUAUCAGCUUGUUGGUGAGGUAAUGGCUCACCAAGGCUACGACGGGUAGCUGGUCUGAGAGGAUGACCAGCCACACUGGAACUGAGACACGGUCCAGACACCUACGGGUGGCAGCAGUCGAGAAUCUUUCACAAUGGGGGCAACCCUGAUGGAGCGACGCCGCGUGGAGGAUAAGGUCUUCGGAUUGUAAACUCCUGUCAUGCGAGAGCAAGAUACCUUUAGUAACUUUAAGUUAUUUGAUAGUAUCGCAAGAGGAAGAGACGGCUAACUCUGUGCCAGCAGCCGCGGUAAUACAGAGGUCUCAAGCGUUGUUCGGAAUUACUGGGCGUAAAGGGUGCGUAGGUGGCGUGGCAAGUCAGAUGUGAAAUCCGGGGGCUCAACCUCCGAAUAGCAUCCGAUACUGCCAUGCUAGAGAACUGGAGGGGGAUCUGGAAUUCUCGGUGUAGCAGUGAGAUGCNUAGAUAUCGAGAGGAACACUAGUGGCGAAGGCGAGAUCCUGGACAGUUUCUGACACUGAUGCACGAAGGCCAGGGGAGCGAACGGGAUUAGAUACCCCGGUAGUCCUGGCAGUAAACGGUGC